UAUGAUUGAAAACGUGUCAUAUAACAUUCCAAGAAGAAAGGCCCAUAGCUCAAAGCCAAUGAGUAAGGUUGAGAGGGCAAAUAAUGAUGGUACUGUUUGGCUGACUAGAAUGAUUAAGAUUGUGAGGACCAAGAAAAUAUAUGAAGAAUGGAAGAGCAAAAUCUUCACAACUAUGCUGUAAAACAAAGGUGUUGCAAGAACUAUCACUAGAUCAUAUGCAAAAGUCCUACUAUGAGAAUUCAGAAGAGAAUGAUAAACUAAGAGCAAGGUAUGCAACCAUGGAAACUAUAAAAGCAAUUUGGUUACACCAACCAUGGAGCAGCAGUAUUAAUUUCAACCAUGGAAACUAUAAAAGCAAUUUACUUUUAUAUAUUAAAAUAGAAAAAAAAAUCAUUACAAAAUAUUAAAAACUAAGCCAAAACAACACUUGUUUGUAUAUGUUUUAAUUUCAAUUAGGCCAAACCACAAUUACAAUUAUUAUUUUUUUUCAUAUGGGGCCAAGAGAAUUUUUUGGGCCCUUAAGACUGCCCUAAAGCAACAAAAAUAAAUUGAACCUAUUUAAAUUUGUAAUAUACUAUAAGAUACUACUAAAUUUGGGAGUCUUGUUUUGGACCAAUUUUUUGGGGCUCCAAAGCACAAGCCUCAAUAGCCUUAGUCGAGGG